rnacentral:rRNA from 1 species
UCUCUCGGAGUGACGGGUACACUGUGGGGACCGCCGCUGCUAAAGCGGAGGAAGGAAUGGGCAACGGUAGGUCAGUAUGCCCCGAAUAUCCCGGGCUACACGCGAGCUACAAUGGUUGGUACAAUGGGUAUCUACCCCGAAAGGGGACGGGAAUCUCCUAAAACCAAUCUUAGUUCGGAUUGAGGGCUGCAACUCGCCCUCAUGAAGCUGGAAUCCGUAGUAAUCGCGUUUCAACAGAACGCGGUGAAUACGUCCCUGCUCCUU